GAUGAACGCUGGCGGCAUGCCUAAUACAUGCAAGUCGAACGAGAGGAAGGAAAGCUUGCUUUUCUGAAUCUAGUGGCGAACGGGUGAGUAACACGUGAGUAACCUGCCCUUGACUCUGGGAUAACUGCUAGAAAUGGUAGCUAAUACUGGAUACGACCCUCGGUGGCAUCACCAGGGGGUGGAAAGAAUUUCGGUCAAGGAUGGACUCGCGGCCUAUCAGCUAGUUGGUGAGGUAACGGCUCACCAAGGCGACGACGGGUAGCCGACCUGAGAGGGUGACCGGCCACACUGGGACUGAGACACGGCCCAGACUCCUACGGGAGGCAGCAGUGGGGAAUAUUGCACAAUGGGCGCAAGCCUGAUGCAGCAACGCCGCGUGAGGGAUGACGGCCUUCGGGUUGUAAACCUCUUUUAGUAGGGAAGAAGCGAAAGUGACGGUACCUGCAGAAAAAGCACCGGCUAACUACGUGCCAGCCGCCGCAGUAA
rnacentral:rRNA from 1 species